UGCGAAAAGUUAGAAAGAAAC
rnacentral:piRNA from 1 species